rnacentral:lncRNA from 1 species
AUCCAGAACACUGAAUAGGUCCUCCUGGGAUAUAGUUAUCCUAAGAUUAACCAGGCAACAAGACUUAAGACAACAAAAGCCCUUUAUGGAGAGAAAUUAUUAAGACAAAUACCCCUGAGGGCUUUGCACAUUUGAAACAGAGUGAGAUGCUUAAGAUCUUAGGUGUUUCAGAGUUUCCAAUCUUUUCAGACUAGUCACCAGAAGUGACCAAAAAUUAUAUCCCCCAGAUAGUGAGUCCAAGAGUGUUCUUACUUUGUCACAAGUCAAGCUCUCCAGGACAUAAACAAGACUAGAGAGGAAUCUCAUCUAGCUUUCAUAUUAGGGUCUAUGGUAUCCCUUUUUAUGACAAAAUGACACAGGAAGACAGUCACGAAGGAACAAAAAAAGACUGUUUCUGGGAGGAAUAGGGUCAGACAUUAUAAACAUUUAUACUGCUGCACCUGAAGAUAGCCUGUGUAAAUGUUUUUCUCCCAUUAAUCAACAUUUUAGAGAGGAAAAGAAGACAAACAGAGAUUUUUUUUUACCAUUCACUCAACCAGAUUCCACAGAAACAGACCAGGAUCCUGACUGAAAUCACAGAAAACAAGAAAGAAAAAUAAAACCACCACAAAUUCCUAAUUUAAUCUUGACAUGGAAGUACUUUAAAACACAAACAAGAUUCAAGAGUAAACAAAGGCUCCAGCAAGGUGGCUCACACCUCUAAUCCCAGCCGUUUGGGAGACUGAGGUGGACGGAUCACUUAAAGACAAAAAUUCAAGACCAGCCUGUGCAACAUGGCAAAACCCUGUAAUAAUACAAAAAUUAGCCGGGCAUGGUGGCACGUGCCUCGUGGCACGUGCCUGUAGUCCCAGCUACUUGGGAGGCUGAGGCAGAAGAAUCACCUGAACCUGGGAGGCAGAGGUUGCAGUUCACACCACUGUUCUCCAGCCUGUGCAACAGAGCAAGAUUCUAUCUUAACAACAACAACAACAAAAAGCAAACAAAGGGCAGGUACCUUGAAAAACAUGAAGAGCAAAUGCCAUGGGUGCAGCAUUCAGAAAGCUGGAGAAAUAAACCUUCAAAGGAUAUGGUACAUAUUAUAAUGAGGUAAUGGAUUAACAGAUUGUACCUUUCAAAGUCAAUGGAUUAAACAGAAUACCACUCGGCUAUACAAGAAAACAAGCUAUCAACAGACAUAACUUCAAGGAUGAAUCUCAAAAUUAUUAUGCUAAGUCUUAGAAAAACAAAGAAAACAAAAUGGAGUACUACUAUAUGAUUCCCUCUAUAUAAAAGCGUGUACAUUUAUUAUUAAUAAAAUUGACAAAAAAGAAGAUUAGUAGUUGCCUUGACCCCUGGUGGAGAAUGUGGAAGGUGACAGGGAAAAUGAGAGUUUGAUUUAUAAAGGGACUUGACAAAAGGAUUGGAGGUGAUGGAUAUCUUCAUUAUCUUCAUUAAAUUUUUUUCAUAAAUAUAUGCACAUUCAAAACUCAACAAACUGUACACUUUAUAGAAGUGAAGUUGACUGUAAAUCCUUAUUGUUCAAUAAAGCAAUAUAAA